rnacentral:rRNA from 1 species
CAGCAGCCGCGGUAAUACGUAGGUGGCAUUGUCCGGGAAAUUAUUGGGGCGUAAAAGGGCUCGCAGGCGGUUUCUUAAGUCUGAUGUGAAAGCCCCCGGGCUCAACCCGGGGAGGGUCAUUGGAAACUGGGAAACUUGAGUGCAGAAGAGGAGAGUGGAAUUCCACGUGUAGCGGUGAAAUGCGUAGAGAUGUGGAGGAACACCAGUGGCGAAGGCGACUCUCUGGUCUGUAACUGACGCUGAGGAGCGAAAGCGUGGGGAGCGAACAGGAUUAGAUACCCUGGUAGUCCACGCCGUAAACGAUGAGUGCUAAGUGUUAGGGGGUUUCCGCCCCUUAGUGCUGCAGCUAACGCAUUAAGCACUCCGCCUGGGGAGUACGGUCGCAAGACUGAAACUCAAAGGAAUUGACGG